ensembl:lncRNA
CGUUGCAUUAUGUCUCAGUAUCCAAUUUCAGGUUUAUAGGAAACAUCUGAGUAUUCUAUCUUCUAAUUGAAUAAUUGUACUUCUGUAAUAUUUCUUCUCAUAGUCUCGGUGUUGGGCCUAGGUAAACACAGUGAUUUUAGCUUCAGUGCUAGUGGAGAGAAAUUAUAUUCCCUCAUGUUUACUCAAUGUUAUUAUUCUCUUUGAGACGGUUCAAUGAGAAGUAGGACUUCCAACAAAAAUUUGUCCCUCCUGCAUCAUGCAAGUGUCUCUUCUUUACCUCAAUUAAUUUUUGAUAUGACAAAGACUCAAAUAAACUGCUGCUGAACUAAAUAGUGUAACAAGUAAAAUGAUAUUUGAUUAACUCCACACUGAAGACUUGUUUAUUAUUUUUUAACGUAUACAGAUCAAGGAAUUCAGAUGUACUUGCACAGAAGUUUCAGCUCAUUCUGCUUUUUCCUUAAACUCACUGAAGGAGAGAUUGUCUCCGGUGACAUCUUCAUGAUUUUAGAAAAGCUGAUGUAGACAGUACUUCUCAUAUUUUUCAUGUAUAACCUCAACUAUUUUGGAGUCAUUGUCAGCAAAAGUAUCUUACAGAAGCAUCAUUUAGGCUGUUCUGUUUUGUCAUGAAAGGAUAAUCAUGGCUUGAGAACAAGAUCCGCUUUCAUCCUUCCUCUAGCUUGUCAGUGCUGCAACUACUUCUUCCUUCAGGCUAAAAUACUGUGAUACAAAAAGGUCUUGAAAUGUAAUGUCAUACUGAAGCUAAAGAAUUAUACCUAUUCAAGAUAGGAUUUCAUAUGGGAUUCAAGCUUUUCAGUACUGAACUUCAAGGAGUGGAGUGUAACAAAGAGAAUCUGCAUCAUCACUCUUUCCCACCUGCCCUUAUGUGACAGAUAUUUAAAGAAAUACUGAGAAUCCUGCUGUCUACAGACUGAUUUGAUGGAGAGCAUUUGACUGGUCCUGGAGCCCUCUUGGAGCCUUUUAUUCUCCAUGCUGAACAGCCAUAGCUCUCUCACCCUGUCCUCGCAGGGCAAGUGUUCCAUCCCUUGGAUCCAUCCCAUGGACCAACAGGUCUAUGCCUCUCCUGUUCCCAGGACUCCACAUCUGGCCGCAAUACUCCAGCCUUCGGACUACUAUCCUUCAUUCAAAGAGAGGAGAGAGAAAGAAAAAAAGGAAGCAACUUUCAGUUCCCGGUAGAGCACCUGGAGGAACUGCUGGAUCCAGAUGUUCUUCGUAAACAUCAAAGGAAACACUAUUUUAUGUGAAAGUGGUAUAAUAAAUGAAAUAAGUGAAAACUAUCUGCAAUUCUAAUACAUGCUGAACAUCUGGACUAUUGCAUUUCCUUCAUAUAUGAAUGAGGUCAGUUGGUAUCACCAUGUGCGGUGUUUGAAAAUUGUGAUGCUACUUGUGUUGCCUGCUCCGUAUCCCAAAAAAUCCCAGAGCUGCAUUUCUAAAGACUAACAGUUUCAUUAAAAGAAGAAAAAUUAAAAAGUUGUACUUACAGCCAGAUGUUCAUUUUACAUAACUUUGAAGAAUUUCACCACCACAUGAAAAAUGUCCUUAAAACUCUUCUUCAUUCACCUGGUUCUGCAUGUAUUCUGCCUCUACCAGGGAUAAUUUUAUCCAAUGUUGGCUUCCUUUAUAUCUUUUACUUUCCUUGGAUG